UCCCCGUUGACCGGGGCAGUCUCGUGUGAAAAUCCAACACACGACAAGGGUUGCGCUCGUUGCGGGACUUAACCCAACAUCUCACGACACGAGCUGACGACGACCAUGCAGCACCUGUCACCGGGUUCCUUGCGGCACUCCCCUGUUUCCGGGGGAUUCCCGGGAUGUCAAACCCUGGUAAGGUUCUUCGCUUAUCGUCGAAUUAAACCACACGCUCCACCGCUUGUGCGGGUCCCCGUCAAUUCCUUUGAGUUUUAGUCUUGCGACCGUACUCCCCAGGCGGGGUACUUAACGCGUUAGCUUCGGUACCCAGGGGGUCUAUUCCCCGAAUACCUAGUACCCAUCGUUUACGGCGUGGACUAC
rnacentral:misc_RNA from 1 species